AGUGAACGCUGGCGGUAGGCCUAACACAUGCAAGUCGAACGGCAGCGCAGUAAGAGCUUGCUCUUACUGGUGGCGAGUGGCGGACGGGUGAGGAAUACAUCGGAAUCUACUUUUUCUUGGGGGAUAACGUAGGGAAACUUACGCUAAUACCGCAUACUACCUACGGGUGAAAGCAGGGGAUCUUCGGACCUUGCGCGAUUGAAUGAGCCGAUGUCGGAUUAGCUAGUUGGCGGGGUAAAGGCCCACCAAGGCGACGAUCCGUAGCUGGUCUGAGAGGAUGAUCAGCCACACUGGAACUGAGACACGGUCCAGACUCCUACGGGAGGCAGCAGUGGGGAAUAUUGGACAAAGGGCGCAAGCCUGAUCCAGCCAUACCGCGUGGGUGAAGAAGGCCUUCGGGUUGUAAAGCCCUUUUGUUGGGAAAGAAAAGCAGCAGGUUAAUACCCCGCCGUUCUGACGGUACCCAAAGAAUAAGCACCGGCUAACUUCGUG
rnacentral:rRNA from 1 species